UGCGUGGGUAGUUCAGUGGUUAGAAUCAUUGGCUUCCAACCAGUUGACCCGGGUUCAAAUCCCGGCCCGCGCAU
rnacentral:tRNA from 1 species